rnacentral:rRNA from 1 species
ACUUAGUUGAUCCUGCUAGUAGUCAUAUGCUUGUCUCAAAGAUUAAGCAAUGCAUGUGUAAGUAUGAAAAAAUUUAGAUUGUGAAACUGCGAAUGGUCAUUAAAUCAAUCAUAGUUUUUUUUUCAUGGUACCUACUACUCGAAUAAUCGUAGUAAUUCUAAAGCUAAUACAUGCAACAAACCCCGAGAUCUGGAAAGGGCACAUUUAUUAGAUAACAGGUCAACCUGGGCUCUGCCAUUGUUUAGAAGAUUCAUGAUAACUUGACGGAUCGAAAAGCCUGCCGGUGACGCAUCAUUCAAAUUUAUGCCCUAUCAACUUUUGAUGGUAGGAUAGAGGCCUACCAUGGUGGUGAUGGGUGAUGGAGAAUUAGGGUUCAAUUCCGAAGAGGGAGCCUGAGAAAUGGCUACCACAUCCAAGGAAGGCAGCAGGGGCGCAAAUUACCCAAUCUUGACACGGGGAGGCAGUGACAAUAAAUAACAAUACCGGGGUCAUUGAGAAUGGUAAUUGGCGAAUUUAUUAUAUUUUUGAAAGACGAACAACUGCAAAAGAAUUUGCCAAGGAUGUUUUCAUUAAUCAAGAACGAAAGUUGGGGGCUCGAAGACGAUCAGAUAGCAUCCUAGACUCAAUCAUAAACGAUGCCAACCAAGUAUCAGCGGAUGUUGCUUUUUGGACACUGUCGGCACCUUAUGAGAAAUUUAAAAUCUUUGGGUUCUCGGAGGAUUAUGAUCACAAAGUUGAAACUUAAAGGAAUUGACGGAAGGGCACCACCAUGAGUAGACCAUGCGGCUUAUAUUGACUCAAAAACUUACCAGGUACGGACAUAGUAAUGAUUGACAGACUGAGAGAUCUUUCUUGAUUCUAUUGCUGGUGAUGUAUGGCCGUUCUUCAUUGGUGGAGCGAUUUGUUUGGUUAAUUCCAUUAACGAACGAGACCUUAGCCUACUAACAAGCAAUGCGGAGGCAUCUUCCGUGGCCAGCUUCUUAAAGGGGUUAUAGCCUUUUAGACCAAGAAAUAUAAGGCAAUAACAGGUAUGUGAUGCCCUUAGAUGUUCUGGGCCGCACGUGGGCUACACUAAUUUAUUCAACAAGUCUAUAGCCUUGGCCGAAAAAGUCCGGGUAAUCUUUGAAAUUUCAUCGUGAUGGGGAUAGAUCAUUGCAAUUGUUGGUCUUCAAUGAGGAAUUCCUAGUAAGCACGAGUCAUCGGCUCGUGUUGACUACGUCCUUGCCCUUUGUACACACUACCCGUCGCUCCUACCGAUUGAAUGGUCCAGUGAAGUGUUUGGAUCAUGGCGACAUCGGCGGUUCACCAAACCUUAUCCUUUAGAGGAAAGAGAAGCCGUAACAAGGUUUCCAUAGAUGAACCUGCAGAAA